rnacentral:tRNA from 1 species
GCGGGUAUGGCGGAACUGGCAGACGCACUAGACUUAGGAUCUAGCGCUUCACGGCGUGGGGGUUCGACUCCCUUUACCCGCA